rnacentral:tRNA from 1 species
GGCCUCGUGGUCUAGUGGUAUGAUUCUCGCUUCGGGUGCGAGAGGUCCGGGUUCGAUUCCGGUGAGGCCC